rnacentral:rRNA from 1 species
AAACUUUCAACAACGGAUCUCUUGGCUCUCGCAUCGAUGAAGAACGCAGCGAAAUGCGAUAAGUAAUGUGAAUUGCAGAAUUCAGUGAAUCAUCGAAUCUUUGAACGCACAUUGCGCCCUUUGGUAUUCCUAAGGGCAUGCCUGUUCGAGCGUCACU